rnacentral:rRNA from 1 species
CCCUUAGAUGUUCUGGGCCGCACGCGCGCUACACUGAUGCAUUCAACGAGCCUAUCCUUGACCGACAGGUCCGGGUAAUCUUUGAAUCUGCAUCGUGACGGGGAUAGAUUAUUGCAAUUAUUAAUCUUCAACGAGGAAUGCCUAGUAGGCGCAAGUCAUCAGCUUGCGUCGAUUACGUCCCUGCCCUUUGUACACACCGCCCGUCGCUACUACCGAUUGGAUGGUUUAGUGAGACCCACGGAUUGGUCCCAGCACGGCGGGUAACCCCUGCGCUGGUGCGCCGAGAAGUCGGUCGAGCUUGAUUAUCUAGAGGAAGUAAAAGUCGUAACA